UGUCCAGGGAUGAAAAUCGAACCCACAGUGUUCCAUUUACCGGGUAGAUGCUAUGUCCACUAGGCUACCUUGGAC
rnacentral:tRNA from 1 species